rnacentral:rRNA from 1 species
GAAGCAGCUAUCCUUAAAAGAGUGCGUAAUAGCUCACUAGUCGAGUGACACUGCGCCGAAAAUGUACCGGGGCUAAACAUAUUACCGAAGCUGUGGAUUGUCCGUAGGACAGUGGUAGGAGAGCGUUCUAAGGGCGUUGAAGCAUGACCGUAAGGACGUGUGGAGCGCUUAGAAGUGAGAAUGCCGGUGUGAGUAGCGAAAGACGGGUGAGAAACCCGUCCUCCGAAAGACCAA